rnacentral:rRNA from 1 species
UACGGAGGGUGCAAGCGUUAUCCGGAAUCACUGGGCGUAAAGGGCGCGUAGGCGGCCUGUUAAGUCCGAUGUUAAAGACUGGGGCUCAACCCCAGCAUUGCGUUGGAUACUGGCAGGCUUGACGGUUGGAGAGGCGAGUGGAAUUACCAGUGUAGCGGUGAAAUGCGUAGAUACUGGUAGGAACACCCAUUGCGAAGGCAGCUCGCUGGACAACACGUGACGCUGAGGCGCGAAAGUGUGGGGAGCAAACCGGAUUAGAUACCCCUGUA